AAAUUCACAGCGACGUGGAAUUCUAUAUCCUGAAACCCAGACUGCUUGGCUCUGUCACAGACUCAGAUCCUCUAGGGCCACGUCUGCAGCAUGGUGGUGUUGAUGAACACAGGCCAGAUCUGUCUUUUUCUGUGGGAUGGGACAUGGCUUUCCUGAUAGGGAAGAGAGAGCAUUCAGGCUGAAAGAUUUAAAAGAGAGUACUCUUGGGAAGCCAAAGCCACAACUAAGGACGGAGAAGCCAGUUGGGAACUGGGAGAAGCUGGUGAAGGGUGGCCUUCUCCACGGGAAUGCCUUUGUCUCUGGGAGCCUCUCUCGGGAGAUGGAAAGGAAACUCAAAAUGAAGCAAGAACUUGAAUUUCGAUCUCCCGCUCUCUGUUCCUCUUUACUAAAAACACUUCAUCCCUUUAGGGAUAGGGUAGCCAGAGAGUAUCCAUUAUAUCUCUGAAGAGAGAACCCAUGAUGAAAAUCAGCAUCAAUAGAGGACUGGUGGUCUAUCAGUGAUGUUAAGCCAGAGGUAGCAGAAAUCGCCCAGCCCCUAAGAGAAAUGCUCUGGAGAGAACAUACGCAGAAAAUAAGACCGAGCCUUUGGCCAUGUUUAUAGAUAAGCAAAUGACGCUCUUAAGAAAGAGGAGAGGGAUCCGGGCAAACUCUUAGUUUACUUACAAACUUCCUGCCUUAUGGCAGAAAGUAGCUUUUUCUGAAAUGUUUGCCUAGGAACCAAAAUGUAAUUCUAAGCUCAGUUUUGGAUCUUUCGGUUCAGUCACUUGUUCCUAUCAGUGGUGGGUAGAUUAGUCAGGAAACAGUAACAAAUUAAUUCUAAAAUCUCAGGGACUUAACACGGCACAAGGUUAUCGCCUACUCCCAUCCUACAAUCAAUGCCUUCAGUGGGAGACUGUGCCACACACUCAGUCAGCCAAGGUGUAGAAGCGCCACCAUCCUGAAGCUUUACCAUUCAGAAAGCUAUUCUCCAGCCACUUCUACAGGCCAGCUCAUUAUCUAGAAUCCAAGCCCAUGGCUGCAACCUCAAGGCAAUGGAAUCUGGGGAUUGUCACCUUUGUAUGUAUCGAGAUAGUGGAAAAUGAAACGGGAUUUGGUGAGCACACAGCAUCACCUUUUACACAACAGGGAACAGAUGGCAGUUUAGUAUCUGCAGAGCAUCCUGGUAAACCUUCAAAUCCACUUCUCAGUUACUCCUACUCUUACUUUUAUCUGGGUUAAAUAAUCCCAGAUUUGGAACCACAUACUGGCAACAUCCAACAAUUGCUUUUGGAAAGAAGACACUAUACCUUUGAGGCAAAUUGGUGCCCAGGGAUUAUCACCCUAGCUUAUCUAUAAACCUUGAAACUGCUGGGGUAUAAAAAUGUCAGUAUAACUGAAAGACUAUGUUAAUAUGUUCAGGUUCAAAUAGUAUUUAAGAAAACGUCUUCAUAAUCUUGAGAAAAUCAGCAUCAAUAGAGGACUGGCGGUCUGUCAAAAUACCAAAGUGCAAGAUAAGAAUUCUUCUAGAUUCUUCCUCAGAAGGUAAGCCGCUGUGUUGGGAGCUGCCUUAAGGAGAGGCUCACAUGCCAGGAAACUGAGAAUGGCCUCCAGCCAAGAGCCAGGGAGGAACUGAGGCCCUUCAUCCAUCAGCCCACAAGGAACUGAAUCCUGCCAACCACCACAGGAAUGAGAUGGGAGAUGGGUCCUCCACCAGUUGAGCCUUGAGAUGACUGUCCCAGCCAAUGCCUUGACUGCAGCUUCAGAGGAGACCUUGAGCCAGAGGAUCCAGCUAAGGUGCGCCCAGAUUCCUGACACUGAAACUGGAAGGCUAGUUUCACUUGCUCAGAGGCUGCCACAUGCAGAAGCUUUGCACCCAGCACUUAACACCCCUGUUCCUAGUGCGGAAACGCUGGAGGGGACACCCCGAUUCAAGAUGGUGGCGGCGGCCCGCCCUGUGCAGAAAUGCUGCUUGCGAAACGCAUCUGCCUGCGCCUGCGCCUGCGCCUGCGCCUGC
ensembl:lncRNA